GAUAAACGCUAGCGGCAGGCUUAACACAUGCAAGUCGAGGGGCAGCAUAGAUUGUAGCAAUACAAUUGGUGGCGACCGGCGCACGGGUGCGUAACGCGUAUGCAACCUACCCGUCACAGGGGGAUAAUCCGGAGAAAUCUGGUCUAAUACCCCAUAACAUAUGGAUCGGCAUCGGUUCAUGUUGAAAUUUUCGGAGGUGACGGAUGGGCAUGCGUAGCAUUAGCUUGUUGGUGAGGUAACGGCUCACCAAGGCGACGAUGCUUAGGGGGACUGAGAGGUUUUCCCCCCACACUGGAACGGAGACACGGACCAGACUCCUACGGGAGGCAGCAGUGAGGAAUAUUGGUCAAUGGGCGCAAGCCUGAACCAGCCAUGCCGCGUGCAGGAUGACGGCUCUAUGAGUUGUAAACUGCUUUUGUACGAGGGUAAAGUGGGUUACGUGUAACCUUUUGGAAGUAUCGUACGAAUAAGGAUCGGCUAACUCCGUGCCAGCCGCCGCCGUAA
rnacentral:rRNA from 1 species